AUUGAACGCUGGCGGCAGGCCUAACACAUGCAAGUCGAAUGGUAACAGGAAACAGCUUGCUGUUUCGCUGACGAGUGGCGGACGGGUGAGUAAUGUCUGGGAAACUGCCUGAUGGAGGGGGAUAACUACUGGAAACGGUAGCUAAUACCGCAUAACGUCGCAAGACCAAAGAGGGGGACCUUCUGGCCUCUUGCCAUCAGAUGUGCCCAGAUGGGAUUAGCUAGUAGGUGGGGUAACGGCUCACCUAGGCGACGAUCCCUAGCUGGUCUGAGAGGAUGACCAGCCACACUGGAACUGAGACACGGUCCAGACUCCUACGGGAGGCAGCAGUGGGGAAUAUUGCACAAUGGGCGCAAGCCUGAUGCAGCCAUGCCGCGUGUAUGAAGAAGGCCUUCGGGUUGUAAAGUACUUUCAGCGGGGAGGAAGAGAGUAAAGUUAAUACCUCUGCUCAUUGACGUUACCCGAAGAAGAAGCACCGGCUAACUCCGUG
rnacentral:rRNA from 1 species